AUGCAAAGGGCUCCUUGGGGCCUGGGGGCUUGCAUCAGGUGGUCAUUCCUUGCAUGCAGCAUCCUGCUCCUGUGCCUUUACUGCCACGCUACACUGCUGUGCUAUGGGAUAAAUUCCUCUACUCAAAGCCCACACAGUGAUUCCUGCUCUGUUUGCUUUUUGGCUGCAGGUCCUGGCUUGGGGGGCUCCAGGCUUGCUGCUCCCCGCACAGGGCUGGUGGGAUGCGGAGUGCAGAGCUGCUGGGGGCCAUGGAGGGGCAGCGGGAGCAGCUCCAGUUCUGUGUGCACCGAGGACGUGGCUGCCAAGUGCUGGGAGGGCGCGGUGGGGACAUCCGAGGAGGAGGAGGAGGAGGAUGACAGCAGUGGGCAGGAUGGGGCCCUGCUCCCAGACGUGUCCCCAGGGUUGAUGAGGAGGGGGAGCCUGGAGUCGCUGGGAGCCAGGAUUUCCAGGCUGAGCCAGAGUGGGGCUGAGACCCCCUGCCCGGCCCCCUCUGAGCACCCAGUGCGGGGCAGGGUGGAUGCAACCCACUGGGGACCACACUCUGGGGCAAAGCCCUCAGUCACCGCUCUGCAUGGAGGGGAUGGGGACACUGGACAUCCCUGGAGACCCUCGGGCAGCUCAGCCAGCAGGAGCAGGGUCGGGGUCAGGGGACAUCCCAGAUGGCAGGAGCCACCAGCAUGCCGGGGGUGGCAAGGAGGGGAUGUCACCCUCACUGCGGAGAAGGAAGGAGAUGGCAACGGGCGGAGGACAGCUCUCUGCACCAAGGCAGCAGCGGGACCCACUGGGAGAUGCAGCCCCCGAGCAGAGGGGCAGCGCGGGGUGUCCUGCCCAGGGCAUGCGACCAGGCCCCGGUGGCAGCGCUGGAAGCAGAAGGCCGUCGUGUCCCACAGGCUGGCAGCGCUGCGCCGGGCCCUGCGGAGCAGCCCAGAGGGGACACAGGAGCCAGGAGCUGGAGCUCAGGGCACGCAGGGCGCUGGGGAUGGGGCCAGGGCACGCGCAUGGGAUCGUGCGGAUGCGGAAAAGGUGCAGGGGCAGAAGGGCUGUGCUGGAUGCCCAGGGAAGAUGUGGAGGAAAACGCCGGAUCUCAGAGAAGAGAAGCGGGAG
ensembl:lncRNA